AUUGAACGCUGGCGGCAGGCCUAACACAUGCAAGUCGAGCGAGCGGCGGACGGGUGAGUAAUGUCUGGGAAACUGCCUGAUGGAGGGGGAUAACUACUGGAAACGGUAGCUAAUACCGCAUACUAUCGGAUGUGCCCAGAUGGGAUUAGCUAGUAGGUGGGGUAAUGGCUCACCUAGGCGACGAUCCCUAGCUGGUCUGAGAGGAUGACCAGCCACACUGGAACUGAGACACGGUCCAGACUCCUACGGGAGGCAGCAGUGGGGAAUAUUGCACAAUGGGCGCAAGCCUGAUGCAGCCAUGCCGCGUGUAUGAAGAAGGCCUUAGGGUUGUAAAGCACUUUCAGCGAGGAGGCGUUACUCGCAGAAGAAGCACCGGCUAACUCCGUGCCAGCCGCCGCGGUAAUUC
rnacentral:rRNA from 1 species